GACGCUUUCAUCCAAAGCGACUUACAGUACAGUGACAGUAUUUUGUCUAAGCAAUUGAGGGUUAAGGGCCUUGCUCAAGGGCCCAACAGUGGCAACCUGGCAGUGGUGGCGCUUGAACCAUCAACCUUUGGAUUACUAGUCCAGUACCUUAACCGCUAGGCCACAACUGUAUUACGUAUGGUUAAUGCAGUAACGAGACGCAUAUUAUUGACAUGCGCUACAUCACAUGACAUUAUUACAUUCUGAGUCAGUUUGCUGCUGAUAUGUUUAAAGUGCCUUAAAAAAAAGAUGAACUGUGUGAUGUGAGGUGGUAAAAGUGACCCGGACAGAACGAACGACGCUUAACGUGAAAUAUAACCAGCACACGUGAAGUAAAUCCAGCUAAACACAGAUACAUGUGGAGCUGUUAGACUGGGUUUGAUGGUUAUUUCACAGACGUGGAUGUUUGUAUUAUGGAACUUUAAUGAUGUUUUAUCUAUCGAUUUAAGCGCUGAGCAAAUCGGUUAUUUACGCCGAGAGUCGCGGUGAAAGCGGAGCGCAAAACUCUUCUCACGUCAACGAACUAAAGAAAACAACUGAGACAAACACGUCACGUCUUCUUAUCACCGAUAUUUGAUUAAUGUUUUCACAUAGAAACCAACAUCUGUAACAGCAGCACAGGUGCUCACACAUAUCUUACACACUCCGCAAUGAUAUUACUACUCUUAACUUUCGCUGUGUAACGCCCACCGGUGCAGACGCUGGUCCCGCCCUUCACUAUCUCUGAUUGGUUUAGACAUAUAGAUAUGAUUAGAUAUGGGCCUAAUGUGUAUCUGUUGGUGCACCGGAGACUUUCAGAGUCACAGAGACUUUUUUAUUCCCCUCGAACGGCUGGUCGCACCGGUGCGACCUCAGAUUUCUUUCAGUCGCACCAUUGAGAAAUGAGGUCGCACUCUAGAGCCCUGUUUAAGGUGUUUUUUUAUCCACUUUUUGUCUCUCCCACGAUGUCAUUCCUCUUUUCUACGGCGUCAAUUACAUGCAAAUGGAUCUUAUGCAAAUUAGGCGAUGACGUCAUUUAGCGACUUCUAGCGACUUUUAAGACGGCCAAUAGCUACUUUCCUUACUGAGGAGUCGGCAACACUGCGACCGAGCUUCUUUAAAAAAAACAAAAAAAACAAAACAAAAGCGAACCAUGGACGUGCUCGCUACUCUUUUAAGCGCAAGGUUUGCACACACAGACUAAAACAAACCGGCAAUAAUUAAUAUAUUGUAUCUUUAUCCUUAUACUCUCAAAGAUGUUAAUACUAAUAUUCAAAAUCUGUUAUUUUUAGAACCAGCCAAAUAAUACUGGCAUUUUUGGCCGGAGCCGCCGCUGCAGUCAUGCUGAGGCAGGGCGAAGAGGAGGAAGAGGAGGAGGAAGAGGAGGAAGCAAUCUGGCAACCCUGAUGACAGAACCGAAACGGCAGUUUGGAGAUUUGCUGCAGCAGCAUAUUUAAGAGCAAGCCAAAUAAUACUGGCAUUUUUGGCCGGAGCCGCCGCUGCAGUUAUGCUGAGGCAGAGCGAAGAGGAAGAGGAGGAGGAAGGUUUUGAAAUAGCAAUCUGGCAACCCUGAUAGCACAAAAACGGCAGUUUGGAGAUUUGCUGCAGCAGCACAUUUAAGGUCAGUGUUUUCAGUUCAUUUUAAUAUGUUUAAUGCUAAUAAAAUAUAUGUUUGAAAUAUUACCAACCAUAUGUUUAGUUUAAUUACCA